GACGAACGCUGGCGGCGUGCUUAACACAUGCAAGUCGAACGGAAAGGCCCUGCUUUUGUGGGGUGCUCGAGUGGCGAACGGGUGAGUAACACGUGAGUAACCUGCCCUUGACUUUGGGAUAACUUCAGGAAACUGGGGCUAAUACCGGAUAGGAGCUCCUGCUGCAUGGUGGGGGUUGGAAAGUUUCGGCGGUUGGGGAUGGACUCGCGGCUUAUCAGCUUGUUGGUGGGGUAGUGGCUUACCAAGGCUUUGACGGGUAGCCGGCCUGAGAGGGUGACCGGCCACAUUGGGACUGAGAUACGGCCCAGACUCCUACGGGAGGCAGCAGUGGGGAAUAUUGCACAAUGGGCGGAAGCCUGAUGCAGCAACGCCGCGUGCGGGAUGACGGCCCUCGGGUUGUAAACCGCUUUCGCCUGUGACGAAGCGUGAGUGACGGUAAUGGGUAAAGAAGCACCGGCUAACUACGUG
rnacentral:rRNA from 1 species